rnacentral:lncRNA from 1 species
AUUAAAACAAUAGUAAGCAAAACUGGACUUGUCUUCAUGAGCUUAAUAAAAAUUUCCUUCAUAAAAGGAAACUGAAACGGAUCCAGUUACCUAUGAAAGAGAGCUACUGUCUUAGUGUGGACUGUUACAACAAAGGACCACAGAUUGGGGAUUUGAACAACGGACAUUUACUUUCUAACAGUUCUGGAGGCUAGAAAGAAAGUCCAAGAUCAAAGUCUGGCAGGAUUUAGGUUCUGGUGAGGGCUCUCUUUCUGAUUUGCAGAUGGCCAUCUUGUGUCUUCAGAAAGCAGAGACAGCAAGAGAGUAGUGAGCUCUGGUUUCUUUACUAUCUUCUUCUAAGGGCACUACACUAAUCCCAUCUUGAGGACCCCACCCUCACAACAUCAUCUGAAUAUAAUUCUCCUGAAGGUCCCAUUUCCAAAUACUCCUGUAUUGUGGGUUAGGGCUUCAAUCAUCUCUGGAUUUUAGAGAGACACAUUUCAAUUCAGCCCACAGCAGCCGUCAGGGGCCUUCUAGAGAGAAUACUUAUGUGAAUGUAACGGUAAGAAUCUGAUGUCAUGUUGAACAGAGGGCAUUUUUCAGGGCAGGAUAUGGUUUCCUCCACAUGUGUGCCUCUUACGCUCCUCCCUCCCCACUGCCCCAGCUCUCUCAGCUAGCUGGUGGACAGGGAGGAUCAUAUUUUCUACUCUUCUUUCUACUGUGGCUCUUCUCAGCCUGCAUCUGCCUGGCUGACCCACAUUCCUCUGGGCCCAGGUACCAAUAAGGAAAUAGAAACCACAAGAAGUGAGAGGGAACUGCCUGCAGCCUCUGGGAGCAAUGUGGUGAAGGCCCAGUCUGUUUCCCAGGCCUUCUCACUAACCGCUUUUUACAGUGUCCGCGGUCGCUCCCACAUGACUCACUGGUGUGGGUGCCCAUCCUGCCACACCACCGCCAUCAGCUCUCUAGACCUGCUGUUGGGAAGCUGGGAAGCUCAGAGCUAUGCCUUUAAGAACUGACCACCCUGGGCUCAGGACUUCCCUGUGCUCCACACAGUGGUCAACCCUGGAAGAGGCUGUUAUUUGCAAACUCUCAAGAGUUUCAGAGCACCCACUGAGCCUCCCUGUGAAAGGCAGUAGAGGGAAUUCCUUUAUCAGGCAGGAUAGAGAGUAUGCAUUUUUAGGCAUGGCCUGGGGAAAAGAACCCACAUGGCAGACACAGAAAGUGUGGGUUCUGCUUUGGGCUUUUCACUUACUUUGCUGAGUGAUUGAGGGCAAUUCAUUUGUUUGACUCCAAAGAGCAUGCAUUAUCCCUGUGGUGUAUCAAGAACUGUCCUUGGCAAGGGGUAUAUGGGAAUAAACAAGGUAACACAGCCUUUGAGUACCUCUGUGUCUCAAUCACAUCAUUCAGGCUAUGAAGAGGAAUAUAUGGCACUAAGGGGCCUCAGGAAAAUCCACUAAGCCCAUCUUUGUGAAUCCAAGAUAGCUCCUUUCAAAGAAGAUACCCCAUUAGCCAAGGUUGG